rnacentral:lncRNA from 13 species
CAGGAGCCUCCGCCCUGGGAUGGGAACGCAGGAGGUGGAGGCAACUGGAAUCUGGCGUGUCCCUUCGUGUCAGCUCUGGGACAGUUCCUGCACAGGACACGCUGCUAGGCUCAGAGUUGUUAGGUGAAUUGGAUGGAAAAUUGGAAAGUGGGGUGCAGGCCCUUUCCAUCAGGAGAAGGAGCAGCUUCCUCAUGUGACUGAAUGCAUGUGUCUGUGAUCACGUGGGUGGCGCGUGGAAGAGAGCAGGGCCCAGUUCCCCCUCAGCUGUCAGGACUUUGUGUGCAGGCAGCCCUGCCUGGUGGGCUGCAGGGCUGGGGUGGUGUCUGGUAAGGGGCGGCCAGACACACGCCCUCAGUAGGGGAGGCCAGCGAGCUGUCAGCAGCCCAGGGCCAGGCGGGCAGUGAAAGUGAGCCAUGGCAGGCCGCUUCUUCUUGCCGCUGUUCACUUGACACUCUCUAACCCAGAAGCCACCUGUUCAGCCAUCAGUCACCGAAGGAAAAUACAGCUUUCCUGAAACUGGGAAUCAGACAGAGAGUCCCAGGAGAGGCCCUGGGACCUGUCUGUGAGGAGGAUGGGAAAGCACUUUACACCCUGUGGAAGGAAGUCUGGGGAACCCACAUUCUCGGAGUAGUUGCAAUGCAAGCGGGAUGGCUGCCCAGGCCAAGGGCAUCACCUGCCCAGGGCUUCAGAGGACUCAGUGAUGCAGCCAGAUCUGGAAAUCGGGGCUCUGGACUCCUGCAGAAGUGCUCCUCCCACUGUCCACUUCCCUAUGGUGAAAUGAGAGGAGGUCCUCGUCCUCGGCAGCCCCUCAGACUCUUUUCGGUAAAAUGUUACAGAGCGUCCGGUGGAGAGAGG